GUUUUGGAGUGCAGGCGUGAAUAGUCCUUUCUGUCCUGCUUUGAGUACUGCUGUUGGGUGCCUUGGGGGGACCUUAAGGGAGCUCGGAAGUUGAGACGUGGUGAGUGCGAGAUCACUGCCCACAAAGGGGAGGAGCAGGCGGAUGAACAGCCAGAGCUGCAAUGGUGGAUCCUCCUCCAGGGCUGCAUGGGACGACAGAUAGAUGAGGCUCUAGGACGGGCACAAAUGCUACCCGAAUGCAAACCACUCCGGAGAUCUGUAAAAGGACUGGCCCCGGACAGGAAGCACACUUUAAACUAGAGGCGGGAGUCAAAGCCCCGGUGAAGAUUCUGUGACGGUUCAUUGUAUAAUUUAUGAUGAUGAAGAUUGAGUUGCAUUUUGCGGAAAAGAGAUGUUGAGAUAUCUAAGGCAUUGAGAAAUCUGUCAUGCAGACAUGCACACAGGGAGAGGGAGUACCCAAACUGAUGAGAACUUACAGGAAUUGGACCAUCUAAGCCCUUAGAAAGUGAAGUCCACUGUGUCUCAAACAAAGAUCUUCAUCCACAUCUUGAAGUUUGAAGUUUGGCCAAGAAUAUACAGAGUAGAUUCUCUUUCUCAGGAUGGCAAGUGUUCAUGACAUCAAUACUACCCAAGGCUUCAGAGUCAUUGGAUUGCAGUGAUGUCAGGAUUAUGCUUUGUGUUGUCCAAAUCUAUGGGAUAUUUUAGGAUGCAGUGACUUAUGAUGAUGUGAGUGUGAACUUCACUGAGGAAGAGUGGGAUUUGCUGGAUCCUUCCCAGAAAAGUCUCUAUGAAGAGGUGAUGCUGGAGACCUACCAGAACAUCACUGCUAUAGGUAAGUGAAUUUCCUCUUGCUUUUCUGAAUAAGGG
rnacentral:lncRNA from 1 species